rnacentral:ncRNA from 1 species
CCUGAGCCGCCAUUUCACGAUCGGACAGGCCACCGCAAAUCUGGAUAAUACGAUCAGACAACGUCGACUUACCGUGGUCGAUGUGGGCGAUGAUGGAAAAGUUACGUAUAUUCUUCAUAUUUAGAGUUAAUUAUGCCUUACGCGUAUCAUGAGGCCGCAGUUCUGCGCCUGACGUUUUUUAAUCCGAAAACGCCGCAUUCUACACUACAUCCACGAAACCAGGAAAUGCUCUUACCGCUAGCAUAACCGGAGUAAAUGACGAGAUCUUGCAGGAGUUGUAAGUAAAGAUAAGGGCCAGUGAAAUCACUGACCCAAUGGUGAGGAAGGUGUCUCAACACGGACUAAAUCUGGCGGCAAACCAACGCUAAGAAUAACCGGCUGCCAUGACUGCCGGGUGGCUAAGCCCGCUGAAAGACCACGGGCCAGCAAAAAACCGCCAACGCCCCCCAGAAUUGCCCCACACAGCGAAGCGAAGUCAUUGGCAAACAGAAACUGGAAUAUCGACGCCAUCACGAAUAGCCCGACUAACGGCACCAUAUAGACCAACAUCGCUGACCCCAGCAGGCUGCUCUCCGCAAUACCCAGUUCCACUUUUUGCCCGCCCGACAACGGUUGUUCAUAUGGAACGCUAAUGGUAUGACUGGUUUGCGGACCAAGCUUAUUCAGCACCCGACUACCGCAACCGGCGCGGGAAGCGCAGCUACUGCAGGAUGCCUUAACAUCGCAGUGCACCUGCGCAAUGCCGUUACUCCAGAAAACAACCGUCGCCCACUCUUUGAUCAUUGUGCUGCCCCGAAUUUAAUACUGUCGGCAAUACG